rnacentral:rRNA from 1 species
AGGUUACUGCUAUCGGUGUUCGCCUAAGCCAUGCGAGUCAUAUGUAGCAAUACAUGGCGUACUGCUCAGUAACACGUGGAUAACCUGCCCUUGGGUCCGGCAUAACCCCGGGAAACUGGGGAUAAUUCCGGAUAACGCAUAUAUGCUGGAAUGCUUUCUGCGUAAAAUGGAUUCGUCUGCCCAAGGAUGGGUCUGCGGCCUAUCAGGUAGUAGUGGGUGUAAUGUACCUACUAGCCUACGACGGGUACGGGUUGUGAGAGCAAGAGCCCGGAGAUGGAUUCUGAGACAUGAAUCCAGGCCCUACGGGGCGCAGCAGGCGCGAAAACUUUACAAUGCGGGAAACCGUGAUAAGGGGACACCGAGUGCCAGCAUCCUAUGCUGGCUGUCCGGGUGUGUAAAAUACACCUGUCAGCAAGGGCCGGGCAAGACCGGUGCCAGCCGCCGCGGUAACACCGGCGGCCCGAGUGGUGAUCGUGAUUAUUGGGUCUAAAGGGUCCGUAGCCGGUUUGGUCAGUCCUCCGGGAAAUCUGACAGCUCAACUGUUAGGCUUUCGGAGGAUACUGCCAGACUUGGAACCGCAGAGGUAAGAGGUACUACAGGGGUAGGAGUGAAAUCUUGUAAUCCCUGUGGGACCACCUGUGGCGAAGGCGUCUUACCAGAACGGGUUCGACGGUGAGGGACGAAAGCUGGGGGCACGAACCGGAUUAGAUACCCGGGUAGUCCCAGCCGUAAACGAUGCUCGCUAGGUGUCAGGCAUGGCGCGACCGUGUCUGGUGCCGCAGGGAAGCCGUGAAGCGAGCCACCUGGGAAGUACGGCCGCAAGGCUGAAACUUAA